rnacentral:rRNA from 1 species
GACGAACGCUGGCGGCGUGCUUUACACAUGCAAGUCGAACGGAAAGGCCCUGCCGUUGUGGGGUGCUCGAGUGGCGAACGGGUGAGUAACACGUGAGUAACCUGCCCUUGACUUUGGGAUAACUUCAGGAAACUGGGUCUAAUACCGGAUAGGAGCUCCUGCUGCAUGGUGGGGGUUGGAAAGUUUCGGCGGUUGGGGAUGGACUCGCGGCUUAUCAGCUUGUUGGGGGGGUAGUGGCUUACCAAGGCUUUGACGGGUAGCCGGCCUGAGAGGGUGACCGGCCACCUUGGGACUGAGAUACGGCCCAGACUCCUACGGGAGGCAGCAGUGGGGAAUAUUGCACAAUGGGCGGAAGCCUGAUGCAGCAACGCUGCGUGCGGGAUGACGGCCUUCGGGUUGUAAACCGAUUUCGCCUGUGACGAAGCGUGAGUGACGGUAAUGGGUAAAGAAGCACCGGCUAACUACGUG